rnacentral:rRNA from 1 species
GCUAGGACGAACGCUGGCGGCGUGCCUAAUACAUGCAAGUCGAACGGUCUUUCUAUGGAAGCUUGCUUCCACUGAGAAGAUAGUGGCGAACGGGUGAGUAACACGUGGGUAACCUGCCCAUAAGAGGGGGAUAACAUCCGGAAACGGGUGCUAAUACCGCAUAGUUUUCUUGAUCGCAUGAUUGAGAAAGGAAAGACGGCCUUUGUGCUGUCGCUUAUGGAUGGACCCGCGGCGUAUUAGUUAGUUGGUGAGGUAAUGGCUCACCAAGACGAUGAUACGUAGCCGACCUGAGAGGGUGAUCGGCCACAUUGGGACUGAGACACGGCCCAAACUCCUACGGGAGGCAGCAGUAGGGAAUCUUCCGCAAUGGACGAAAGUCUGACGGAGCAACGCCGCGUGAGUGAAGAAAAGGUUUUCGGAUCGUAAAACUCUGUUGUCAGAGAAGAACAAGUUGGAGAGUAACUGCUCCAGCCUUGACGGUAUCUGACCAGAAAGCCACGGCUAACUACGUGCCAGCCGCGGC